GAUGAACGCUAGCGGCAGGCUUAACACAUGCAAGUCGAGGGGUAUAGUUCUUCGGAGCUAGAGACAGGCGCACGGGUGCGUAACGCGUAUGCAAUCUACCUUUUGCAGAGGGAUAGCCCAGAGAAAUUUGGAUUAAUACCUCAUAGUAUGUGAGAAUGGCAUCAUUUUCACAUUAAAGUCACAACGGCAAAAGAUGAGCAUGCGUCCCAUUAGCUUGUUGGUAAGGUAACGGCUUACCAAGGCAACGAUGGGUAGGGGUCCUGAGAGGGAGAUCCCCCACACUGGUACUGAGACACGGACCAGAAUCCUACGGGAGGCAGCAGUGAGGAAUAUUGGACAAUGGGCGCAAGCCUGAUCCAGCCAUGCCGCGUGCAGGAUGACGGUCCUAUGGAUUGUAAACUGCUUUUGUACAGGAAGAAACACUGGUUCGUGAACCAGCUUGACGGUACUGUAAGAAUAAGGAUCGGCUAACUCCGUGCCAGCAGCCGCCGUAAAAC
rnacentral:rRNA from 1 species